rnacentral:rRNA from 1 species
AGUGGCAGACGGGUGAGUAACGCGUGGGAACCUACCUAGUGGUACGGAAUAGCCCAGGGAAACUUGGGAUAAUACCGUAUACGCCCUGAGGGGGAAAGAUUCAUCGCCAUUAGAUGGGCCCGCGUUGGAUUAGCUUGUUGGUGGGGUAACGGCCCACCAAGGCGACGAUCCAUAGCUGGUCUGAGAGGAUGAUCAGCCACACUGGGACUGAGACACGGCCCAGACUCCUACGGGAGGCAGCAGUGGGGAAUAUUGGACAAUGGGGGCAACCCUGAUCCAGCCAUGCCGCGUGAGUGACGAAGGUCUUCGGAUUGUAAAACUCUUUUAGCAGGGACGAUAAUGACGGUACCUGCAGAAUAAGCCCCGGCUAACUUCGUGCCAGCAGCCGCGGUAAUACGAAGGGGGCUAGCGU